rnacentral:lncRNA from 1 species
CACCCUGAAAGCAGGCUCAUAUUUUUCAGUACCUGGGUGGCCCAGAAGAACUUUUCAGGGAGCAAGAACCAAACAGAUAGUAAAAUAAGCACAUUUGUGGGUGAACCUCAGUUUCAUGCUUCUUGGGCUUCUCUGUGACCUACAAGAACCAAGAAACACCAGAAGAUGGAACUGAAACUGCCUCUUACUUGCUCAUUCUUCACUGCCAGAUCACAUCAGGAUAUAAGAUACCUGAGGACUACUUGUUUGCAGACUGCUGGAAGCAGAGACAUAAUCACCUAUUGUUUGGUCAUCCCCUUUCUUCUGGUGCUUCUCCAUCAGGGAAGGUGAAAGGCAGAAGAGGACCUGCAGUCACUUGCAUUGUGAAGGGCUGGUGUGGGCCACUGCAUGUUUCGAGGUGCAGUGACAGCAAAAUAAAUUCAAUUCGCAGACUCCUGUCAUCCUCCAGAUCUUUGGAUCAGUUGUUAUUCCCUCCCAGCCUCAUUCAUCGAUGCUAAGGAUGAAGUUCUAAACACUUGCUGUGGUUGAAACUGUUCUUACAUCAUCUCCUGAACAGAGUGACUUCACUCACAUGAAAUCAUGAAGUUAAUGCCACAGUCAAGACUUCAAAGCUCUUUCUGCUGACCUGAGCUGAUUUUUUUUUUUUUUAAAUACUAUGGUAGUUGCUGGUUCUUAACUGAGAGAAGAAUUGCCAAAGUAGUCAGUGUUCUCCUUAUUGUGCAAUACAAGAAGAUGGGAGAAUUUUCCAGCAGAGCUGCAGUCUGGAUGGGGGUGGCAGUGCCAUAGUAUGAAUUCUCCACUUAAUCUCAAAUUAGUUUUGAUUUUUGUCUUGUUGUAUAAAAUGGGGAUGAAUAUCCUCGAUCUGUAUUAUCUACUCGAACUAGAUAACCUUUAAAAGGUCCCUUCCAACUCAAACUAUUCUAUGAUUCUAUGAAUUUGGUAGUUGCGCUGGAAAAGGGAUUCUCACAAGACAAAAAGUGAUUACAGAGCUGGCUAAUGGGGUUGAGAGAUCAUGCUGCAAGGACAACUGUCAGGCAAAAAGAUAGUUUGUAGUGGAGGUUCUUAUGGACAAUACUAAUUUUAAUUUCUGUUAGCGCCAUUUGGAAAAGACAGAAGCGUGCUAGUAACAUUUGCUAAUUACUAAGGGAUGUCAUCAAAGCAAGAUAGGAAGAAGGGGAUGGGGUAAUAGGAAUUGAAUAAAAUUAAGUGGUACACAGUGCA